GGGGGGUUGGUUUAGUGGAAAGAGCACGGGCCUGGGAGUCGGAAGUCCUGGGUUCUAAUCCCGGACCCUCUA
rnacentral:tRNA from 1 species